CUCGUCAGAAUAUCUUGUUCCUGCACUGCAUUUCCUGAUUAGUGACACCUGUUUCUCAUCCACCAGGAAGUGAGUGUUUCUUGUUCCUCACUGGAUGAUGUGCCGUGCAUUUGAGAUUCCAAAUUAUUAUUUUAUGGUUUUCAUUGAUACUUGAACUUAAAAUGAAAUACAAACUGAGGACUUUGGACCACGGAGGAACAGUCCAAUUUUCACUUUGGCCCUGAUGAUUUUAUGCCGUUAUGUUCUGCCGGUGGGAGGGUUUCUGUGGAGCAAUUCUUCUCAAAGGAUUCCCACUCGUUCACAUGAUGUGUUUCAACACAGUGUUUGAGAUGGGAAUUGCCCUGCGAUGUGAUGUACGGCGGUCAUAGAGCAGCUGGUGAAGCCUCACUAUGUGGCACCCGAAACUGCUGGCCCUCAUCCUUCUAAAUCCGGCCCUGGUCAAUGGCGGCACCGGGAUACCAAACCAAGUUCCCACACUCGUCCUCAAUGCCCCUAAUGACAAACCAGCACAGUACACACUGAAAGUCUAAAACGUGUCGCGCAAUAUGGAUUCACUGGGUGGUUUUUAUUUAUACUUGCUGGGUCUCCAUGGAGACCAGAGUUAAAUCCGUUAUCAACCCGACUUCAUUUUGACCACAUUCAUUAGCUAAAGAAACGUCUCCCGUUCAUCCCAUUAAAUUUGAUGACAGCGCUUCCAGGAGGAGCAUAUGCUUUACUUCAGAGGAUACUCACCUCUUAUUUAAGUCAUUAAAUUUUCCUAGAGGUGAUUAAUUACUACCUCAAGGUUAAACUGCCAUCAGGGAGAACAACUUUAACUGUAUGCCUACCACUGUGUAUUUGAAUUAAAGGUCUUGGAUGAAGUUAUCAGGAAAAACUUGAAGGUCAAAGCAGUUAAAUAUGGUAAUGUUCAUCAGAAAUGAAAGGAUUUUAUUUUAUGUACCUCUUGUCGUACGUCUUCCUAUUGAUGAGAUUUAAACUGUGUUCAAUUUCAUAUUCAGCUUCUGUUUUUUUCUACUUAAUGGCUUUACUUUUGGAGAAGUUAAAUUAGUUUGUUCCAGCGCUUUUGUCACCAAAUGAACUUCCUGCUUGCAAAAUUAAAACAAUAUAAAAACGACACCAUUACUGGGAAACCAAAACAAUUCGGAGGCUCUUUUUGGAAAAUGCAUUUGUCACUCCGUCAAAGAGAAAAAAAUAAAAAAUAAAAAAUCUGGUAUGUAAUUUAGCAACCAGGAGGAAGGAAGUAAAAGGAUGCAGAGGUUGGGUUUAUUGUGCAUGUUUCAUUCUGAAUACUCUUAUCAGAUGAGCACACGGAGCACCGGCAGGUUAAAACUAUUCCAGGAACAUUCCAACGUGCCUUACGUGUUCCUGGAAAGCUUCCGUUUCGACUGGGAAGUUCUGCAGAAACUUGGCGUAGAUGUGAUUGGCUGGUCAAAAAGCAAGGACUCCAGUUUUAGUCAUACCCUCCUUGUGCAAUAUGGCAUAUGUCUUUUCUCAGUUUCUCGACACUAAUGUCAUCUCUGCAGAGACUUUGACGGGGACAGUAGAUAAAUCAACUGAAGGGCCAAAUCUCUCAGGGCUACAAGCUCCAUUUGAAAAGAAGGAUUUUUGUUAUUGUUGGACGCACGGUGCCCCUUAGGAUGUCCUUAAGAGAGGAACAGCACAAGGUAGGGCAAUAAACAACAACGCUGUUAUUGUGCCAUUUAACAUUAUGACCGAUCAUC